rnacentral:rRNA from 1 species
CUUCGGGUGGACAGCGGCGAACGGCUGAGUAACACGUUAGUACCUGCCCUUAGCUCAGGGAUAACGUCAAGAAAUUGACGCUAAUACCGGAUAGUCCAGUAAUGGUAAAGAUUUAUCGGCUAAGGAGGGGCUUGCGGCGUAUCAGUUUGUUGGUGAGGUAAUGGCUCACCAAGACUAUGACGCGUAUCUGGCGUGAGAGCGCGACCAGACAGAGUGGGACUGAGACACGGCCCACACUCCUACGGGAGGCAGCAGUGAGGAAUUUUCCACAAUGGGCGAAAGCCUGAUGGAGCAAUCCCGCGUGGAUGAUGACACCUUUCGGGGCGUAAAAUCCUUUUCUGAGGGAAGAAAUUUUGACGGUACCUCAGGAAUAAGCGACGGCUAACUACGUGCCAGCAGCCGCGGUAAUACGUAGGUCGCAAGCGUUAUCCGGAAUUAUUGGGCGUAAAGCGAUCGAAGGCGGUCAAGUAAGUAGCAUAUUAAAUACCUGCGGCUCAACCGAGGUGCUGUAUGCUAAACUGCUAGACUUGAGAUGCAGAGAGGAAGCUGGAAUUUCCAUUGUAGGGGUAAAAUCCGUAGAUAAUGGAAGGAACACCAAAAGCGAAGGCAGGCUUCUGGCUGUAUUCUGACGCUGCUCGAUCGAAAGCGUGGGGAGCGAAAGGGAUUAGAUACCCCUGUAGU